rnacentral:rRNA from 1 species
GCUACCUCGGGGCGCAGCAGUGGGGAAUAUUGCACAAUGGGCGAAAGCCUGAUGCAGCAACGCCGCGUGAGCGAUGAAGGCCUUCGGGUCGUAAAGCUCUGUCCUCAAGGAAGAUAACGACGGUACUUGAGGAGGAAGCCCCGGCUAACUACGUGCCAGCAGCCGCGGUAAUACGUAGGGGGCUAGCGUUAUCCGGAAUUACUGGGCGUAAAGGGUGCGUAGGUGGUUUCUUAAGUCAGAGGUGAAAGGCUACGGCUCAACCGUAGUAAGCCUUCGAAACUGGGGAACUUGAGUGCAGGAGGGGG